GACGAACGCUGGCGGCGCGCUUAACACAUGCAAGUCGAACGGAAAGGCCUGCUUUCCCUUGUGGAUUGCGGGUACUCGAGUGGCGAACGGGUGAGUAACACGUGAGUGAUCUGCCCCCAACUUGGGUAUAAGCCUGGGAAACUGGGUCUAAUUCCCGAUAGGACUGCAGGGUGGUGCCUGUGGUGGAAAACGAUUUUCUAGUGGUUGGGGAUGAGCUCGCGGCCUAUCAGCUUGUUGGUGGGGUAAUGGCCUACCAAGGCGGCGACGGUAGCCGGCCUGAGAGGGUGGACGGCCACAUUGGGACUGAGAUACGGCCCAGACUCCUACGGGAGGCAGCAGUGGGGAAUAUUGCACAAUGGGCGGAAGCCUGAUGCAGCGACGCCGCGUGGGGGAUGACGGCCUUCGGGUUGUAAACUCCUUUCGACCGCGAGGAAGCCACCUGGUUGGAAGGGUGGUGACGGUAGUGGUAGAAGAAGCACCGGCUAACUACGUG
rnacentral:rRNA from 1 species